rnacentral:lncRNA from 1 species
AUGGCUGCAAAUAACCUGGGCUCAGCAUGGUCAAGUAUGAAACCCAUUGCAGGCACUAGUAACUCAAAGAAUAUAAGCACUGUCACUUUAGAGGGUUUUGACACAGACUCUGACCUUGCAAAUGAUCUUAAUAAUUUCUUUUCCCGUUUUGACACCUAUGAUUUCAGUAAAGAAAAACAGGAGCUCAGUCAUAAAUUAGCUGACCAGAACCACUUCACAAUUGAAGAGGAAAAUAUUGAAAAGGUAUUCUCUUCCAUAAAUCCAAAUAAAAGCCAUGGACCUGACAAUAUAUGUGGUAGACUGGUUAAGUUGUGUUCUAGAGAACUUAGUCGAAUAUUUCAUUACAUCUUCAAUAAAUCCCUUCAAAAUCAGCAUGUCCCAAAAUGUUGGAAAGAUGCGGUAGCCGUUCCAGUUCCCAAGACAAGCUGCCCAAAAAUUCUGAAUGAUUUUAGGCCUAUUGCUCUGACAUCUAUUGUCAUGAAAGCUUUUGAAAAAUUAGUGAGAAAUGAAAUUUUAAAGAAAACAGAGUCUGAUAUUGACCCAUUGCCUUUUGCCUAUAAGCCUCAUAGAGGUGUCAAGGAUGCCACAGUCACUUUGAUGAACAUGCUUUUUAAACAUCUGGAAGGAAAAGGAACACAUGCUCAGCUUUUAUUUAUAGAUUUCUCUUCUGCUUUUAAUACAAUUCAACCCCACAUUUUAACAGAAAGACUUUUAGAGCAAUUUGAUUUGAGUAAAAAUCUUGUUGGAUGGGUUUUAGACUUUUUAACCAAUAGGACGCAAAGAGUGCGAGUCAAUGGAGUACUGUCUGACCAGAUCUGCUCCUCCACUGGCUCCCCUCAUGGCUGUGUUUUGUACCCUCUCCUGUUCAUCCUUUACACAAACAUGUGCCGCAGCAAAAGAGUAGACAGAUUUAUUUUAAAGUAUGCAGAUGAUUCUGUCAUUGUAAGCCUGCUACAAGGGAAUGAAGUCGCUCAGGAUUUUGUAGACUGGUGCGAUAGGUCCUUUUUACACAUGAACAUUUCAAAAACUAAAGACAUGUACAUAGAUUUCCGGAAACUCCCCAGUGCUAAGGAACUCACCAGCAUAAAGGGUCAGACUGUUGAGUGUGUGGAUAACUAUAAAUAUCUUGGGACCAUCAUCGACAAUAAACUAAACUUUGAGACAAACUGUGAAGCUGUGUACAAAAAGGGGAAUCAGCAUUUAUAUUGUCUGAGGAAACUCUCAUCGUUUCACAUUGACAGUAAAAUGCUAACCAUGUUCUACCGCUGCUUCAUUGAAUCUGUCUUAUCCUUUAGCCUGGUGUCUUGGUUUAGUAACCUAUCCCUAAAAAAUAAGAAUUCCCUGAGCCAAAUCGUGAGGUGGGCUAGUAGGCUGAUUGGAGAGCCACAGCUGAACCCAGAAUCCCUGCAUACAAGGCAGCUACAGAGACUAGCUGGGUCUAUCUUAGAAGAUGGAUCCCACCCACUAUAUGGUGAAUUUCAACUUCUCCCAUCAGGUCGUAGGUACAAAAUGCCUGCCUGCAAAACAAAGAGAUACAGAGGCAGUUUUGUUCCAUCAGCCGUCAAAACGUUAAAUAGUAAGUAA